AUGGUGGGUGAAAAAGUUGAGAAGCCGGAUACUAAAGAGAAGAAACCCAAAGCCAAGAAGGCUGAGGCUGGUGACAAGGUGAAAAAGGGUCACCUCAAGGCUAAGAAGCCCAAGAAGGGGAAGCCCCAUUGCAGCACAACCCUGUCCUUGUCAGAGGAAUUGGCAGGUAUUCCCGAUGUGCUAUGUAUUCCAGAAAAGCUGUGUAUAAGAGGAAGUACUCAGCCGCUAAGUACGAGGUUGAAAAGAAAAAGAAGGUUCUUGCAACUGUUACAAAACCAGUUGGUGGUGACAAGAAUGGUAGUACCCAGGUGGUUAAACUUCAUAAAAUGCCUAGAUAUUUUCCUACUGAAGAUGUGCCUCAAAAGCUGUUGAGCCAUGGCAAAAAAAAAAAAAAACCCUCAGUUGACACGUGAGAAAACUGCGAACCAGCAUUACCCCGGGGAACGUUCUGAUCAUCCUCACUGGAUUCCACAGAGGCAAGAGGGCGGUCUUCCUGAAGCACCUGGCUAGUGGCUUGUUACUUGUGACUGGACCUCUGGUCCUCAAUCGAGUUCCUCUAUGAAGAAAACACCAGAAAUCUGUCAUUGCCACCUCAACCAAAAUUGUUAUCAGCGAUGUAAAAAUCCCAAAACAUCCCACUGAUGCUUAUUCAAGCAGCAGCAGCUGCAGAAGCCCAGACACCAGGAAGCUGAGAUCUUCAGCACAGAAAAAGAUAAAUACAAGAUUACAGAGCAGCACAAGAUUGAUCAGAAAGCUGUGGAGUCACAAAUUUUACCAAAAAUCAAAGCUAUUCCUAAGCUCCAGGACUACCUGCGAUCUGUGUUUGCCCCGACUCAUGGAAUUUAUCCUCACAAAUUGGUGUUC
rnacentral:lncRNA from 1 species